GACUGUUCAGGAAAUGAGAAGUGCUGCAGCUCUAUAUGUGGAGGAUGGAUAUGUACACCUGCAUCUUAAGACAGAAGUGUGACCCAGAGACCGGUGGACAUGCAUGCAGAGAACAUACCAAUUUAACAAUUGGGGAAAGUCUUUGUACUUAAGGUCUUUUUGUCUUCAUCAAAUAAAUCUGUUUAAAUUUC